AGGAAGCUAAGCUGAAAAAAAUCUUCUGUUUCAGUGAAUGCUGGUAAGCUGAGUUGUUGCUGAGCUUCAUGAUGAAGGAACUGACCUUUUACAGGUCAAGUGCACAAGGUGAGUGAGAUUGCCUUUAAAACCCUUGUUUUCAUUUUUUGCUCAAGUUUUCGUAGUAGCAAGAAAUUAAGUUCCUUCUGCUUUUAGAAUUUCUGAGACUUGGUCAUCAAGCAUAAAAACAAGAGAAUUCAUUUAGAAUUGAUAGCUUUAAAGAUUAUCAAAGUUUCGCUGAUAAUAAACAAUAGCAGCAGUCUGUUCGUCAUGUAUCCCGACAUGUUAGUAUUUUCAUAUUAACUUCUUGAUACAAAUAAUCUGAAUAGGUAGUUGUCUUUUGCACUUUUUGCUUUGGGGUUCACCGUUCAUAUGGAUUUCCUCCCCACUCCACCACAAUCAUGCUUCUUAAUGAAGUUUAAGUGAAGCAUGUCUUAAGAAUAAGAUAAUUAGCAUAUUUCAUUCUCAAUGUAGUGGUAAAAGCUGAAGAAGAAAUGUGUUCUCCCUUGAUCUAUAAAACUCUAAUUAUAUCUGCUGACUUAUCUUUCGCUGGAAUUGAUGAACAGUGCUGCAUCUCAAUCUCAUCCCCUUUUAUUUUAAAUAUCAGCCUGUUUUGUAUCAAACUAAUCAUUUAGAAGGAAAGCAGCAACAUUUUAAGAGAAAGAAAAUUUUAGUUGUGGUGAUUAUUUUGGUUGCUAGCUUGAAUGUUGAAUCUCAGCAGUUUACACCCCUAAUAACUCCUAAGAGUUAACCGUUUCAAAAAAAAAAAAAAAAUAACUCCUAAGAGUUGGUGGAGAAAAAUGUAUCAAGCAGUAUAAGGCUUGCUUGUUCAGUAUUAAAGAAGUUAAAUGCUAUCAAAUGCUUAAUUCCAAAUAUUUAAAACCCAGAUAAGAUAGACUGCAUUUGUUGAAGUCACAGGUCAAGUGGGAUAACUACAUUUAUUCUACAUGGCUCAACAAAGCUCCUUCAUAAUGUAGCCUCCAACACUUGCAUUUAUCUUUUUAUUGCAGUAUGGGAAUCUUCAAAGAUACAAGGGUUUUCUUGUGUCUGUGAACCCCAUUCACAUGAUUAUCAUCCCUGGAGAGUGGCUCAUAUGAGAUGAUUUUGGAGAAAUCUAUUCCCUAUUUAUCAAUCUGGGGCGUCUGAGGAAGUCCAACCUAUGGUGAACCUUCUCUAGAUUGAAGUGUGAAGCGUUCAUUUUGGAAAUUUGAUUUUGUGUAAAACCAUAGAUGAUAGAGCGCGCCAGAUUGAUCAUUCAUAUUUUUCCUUUUAAUAUACAGAAAGCUGUGUGUUGGUUUUAAUGGUUUGGGUUGAAAUGAUUCAAAAAGUAGAAGAAGAGAUUCUACUAGUUCAUGGGGCAGCCUACUUGGACGCUCUUCUGUCUUUUCUUCUUCUUCUUAGUUGUUGUAUAAUAGUGUUUUUUGAAUUUAUUUUACAUCAAUAAAGUAUAACGUGUUGAAUCAAAGCCUAUCAAAACCAUAAAAGAACUAAUCCGUUAACUCUUAUAUCCAAGAUAUCUGGGAGUAAAUUACAACACCAUCUAAAAAUCACCAUUGUUGCAGGCUUGAAGAAGUGAGUCUUGAAUUCCGCAUAUGAACAGUUUGUUCUAAUCAAGUGGAUGUUGUUGGAAAAGCUGGGAAACAUUGGCAGGGAUGAUUUUUUUUUUUUUCUGAAACUGGUAACUUUAGGCAGGGAUGAAAAUUGGUAGUUCAAAUUUCAGAAAAACUAUUUUUUGUUUUGAACAAAUAUGUAGAAACUGGAGGUAUUGGUAGUUCAAACUUCAGAUAUACAUAUUUGAAGUUUGGUCUUGACAAGUCAAACUUUUGACGCAUAUGUCGGAUGUUUGCUUGCACAAGCAAUACCAAACUUCAGACAAAUUUGUAAUUUCAAACACGAUUUUUUGCAACUUCAGUCUGAAGUGUCUAAACUUACAAAACUUUAUGAACUUAGGCUGUGGCUUCAAUGGGUAUCCCAAAAUUGGCUAUCUGUGCAAUUGCACCCAAAAAGUCGGAGUAGCAACUUUGGGAACAGAGGUUAAGGUUUGUAUCCCAGCAGCGAAUGAAUUCUUCCUAUCUGCCGCCUUGGUGGUCAAAGUUGUCUUGUAUCUGUGCUAGCAUUGGUUGUUAAAAUUAUCUCCCCGUAUCUGUAUUUGUGGAGUGAAGUAGGUUCCUUAGAGAAUUAGUUGAGGUGUGCACAAGCUGGCGCCUGGCAGUAUAUCUUUGUUACUAUUAAAAAAUAAAUAGCAAAGUUACUUUGGAUUUGUGGAUCAAACGUCUUGCAAGGUAGAAGAUAGGAAAGUCUUUAGAGAGACAAAAAUAAAAGAUCUCUUCUGAAAACUUCUAGCUUUGACGCACAAGAAGUGCUAAGGAAUUGUUUUUCUAUGAUAUAUUUUUUGGAUGUUAAGGGAGAAAACAAUGACUGCAAUAUUUGUUUUUCUUUUCCUUUCUUUCAAAAUCUUUUGCUUUAUAGACUGGGUGGAGGUGGAGGGUAAAGCUUCAGAAUGAAUUCUAGUGAAUUUCUUCAUCUCACUUGUGGAUGUGGUAGUUCAUAAUGUAGCUAUAGAUGAGUAGCAUUCAAAAGAAGCAGACGGUUGAAGUGGCCACAUUAUCACUUAACUGACUUAUGUACCCUCCAUUCCUUUUUACUUGCCCCUUAUACUAAACAUAGUUUUUCCUUUUUUCUUGUCCAUUUUAGCAAAUCAAGAGAGAUUCAUUACUUUCUUUCAGUAUUGCCGUUAUCUUCGAGGCGUUACAUAAAGUACUAGUAAUCUAGGUUACCUUUAUAAAAAAUAAAUAAAGAACAAGUAAUCAAACUUAGAUUUCCAAAGCAUAUUAAAUUAAAAUAAUUUAGUAAACAAACUUGUAAUAAAUAGUUUCUUAAGGGGAGUGCCGAAUUAACAAGGGACAAGUAAAAAGGAAUAGAGGGAGUAGGUUGUGUAAGGAAGAGUGAAGUGGAUCUUAGUAUCAAAGACUUGUUACCUCUAGAUAUUUUGUCUCCAUACAAGGGAAGAUGUCUGUUUGGGGGAAUUUUAAAAUGGUUGGGGAAUUUGUCAUAAAUGUAGCUAAGAUCGGUUAAGUUAGUUGAUGCAAUUGUUUUUCUCUAGGACUCCAUUAGAGUCCCAAACUAACUGUAGAAGUUCUAUAACAUGUACCAAGGGGUAUUUCAGAAUUUUUAGUUGCUGACUUGGUGGAAGUGUACUAUCUUAGAUGUAUGGGUUUUGGAACUGUUAAAAAAGUGAGACCGAUUAGAUCUUCUGUAACAUGAUAUAGAUUGUUGUUUUGCUAUUGGGAAGUGUUCUGAAACACAAUUUUUCUUGAGCCUAGGGUCUAUCGGAAAUGACCUCUCUACCCCACUAAAGGUAGGGGUAAGUUCUAGGCACAGCCCACCCUCGCCAUACCCCACAUGUAGGAUUACUCUGGGUAUGUUGUUGCUGUUGGAAAGUGAACACUGGGUCUACUCAACUGAAACUGAAAACAUAACAUUCAAUUUGAAAUGUAAAGAACUAUUUAAUUGUGACACUCCCUUCUGGUAAAACUAAAGAAAUUUUAAGAACUCCUUACUUUAGUGAAAUGUAGGUUUUAUGAUGUGCUCUUUCUUAAUAUUCUUUUAGUUUCUUCCAAGUUGCUUAUUAGCUAGUCUUGAUAUGAAAUGGUCUGGAACAUUUAGUGAAGUGAGUUUGUGGAACCGUUGUACGUCUUUCUCCACUUUGUCUUAAUUAACUCUUGUGAACGAGUUCAUGGAACUAUUUUCCAGUGUUUUCAAAAAGGAAAAACGCAAAAGGGCCGCAAGGUUUAUGAGGCUUGAAGUGAAAGGAAAGAAGUGAAGCAAAGUGAACCACACAAUUUAUGGAAAAUUAGAGUACCAAACAUAUAUGUAUUUAGCUCUAUAGUAUUCAAGUUGCAAUUAAAAUAAUUAAUUUCAGCGUCCGAUGUACAAUGAUGCUAACUUUAGUACAAAUCCUCAAAGUUGAGAUUCAAAGAACUCAUCGCUACCUUUGUCAAAAACAAGAACUCAUCGCUACUCAGUUGGAUCGGUCAGUUGGAUCACCGAUCCAACUAUGCCCAUGUUCUCUGAAGUGUAUGGCUUCACCAUACAACUAUAACCCAUUGCUUUUAAGCGAUAAAAUACUAGCCUUUAACAACACUGCUAUUUUCAUUUUUCUCUAAUUCCGUUCUUGAAGGGGAGCCUUGGUGUAACUGGUAAAGUUGCUGCCAUCUGACCAAGAGUUAACGGGCUCAAGCCGUGGAAACAACCUCUUGCAGAAAUGUAGGGUAAGCUGCGUACAAUAACCCUUGUGGUCCGGCCCUUCACCGCCCCAUGCAUAAUGGGAGCUUUUUUGCACGGGACUGCCCUUUUUUCUCAUCUAUUUCUUAUUUUCCCUUUGUGCUUCCUGUAGUUCUCACACACUUAUCAGUUUUCAUUCCUAUUAUUCCUUCUCUCGUCCAGCAAUCUAGGCAACCAUUAGUCAUUAACUAUAAAUGUUGUAUUUGUUUAUUGUCUCUAAGAAGAAAAAAACAUGUGAUCCUUUGGCACCAUUAUGGAUAUUUGUAAAUUGUUUUAUAGCCUCACUUUUGACUCUGAGAAACUAAUUAGAGUUGUAAAUGUUUGCAAUAGAGGGGUGUAAACAAGUUGAGAAGCCUAAGUGGGUUUCGUGACACUUUUCUACUUACAGAAGUUGGGCUCAGUAUGAGAUGAAUCAAGGCUAAAAUUGGAUCCGAGAGUUUUAUGUGGUUCAAAAAUUCUACCAGCCUAAUUCUCAAAAAAAUAAAUAAAAUAAUUCUACCAGCAUAAAAUUGAAGUCUGAAAUCAAGUUGACCCUAACAGACAUAUUCCUUCUGUUUGGUACCAUAAGAGAAACUGAGAAAAACUUGGUAACAAAAUUAAAAGAGGGAUAUCUUUAUUUACUUUUUUUUUUUAAAUGGAAGAAAAUUAAGGAAAGCUGAGCCACUAGCAAAUUUACUCCAUGACUUACUUGAGGUACUAUGCACAAGCAAAGAAUUUCACCGAGGUUAGAGGUCCUGGAAGUGAGAAGAACAGAACAAAGGAUUUUCACAGUUUUCUCUCUCUCUCUCUCUCUCUCUCUCUCUCUCUCUCUCUCUCUCUCUCUCUCUCUCUCUCUCUCUCUCUCUCUCUCUCUCUCUCUCUCUCUCUCUCUCUCUCUCUCUCUCUCUCUCUCUCUCUCUCUCUCUCUCUCUCUCUCUGAACAGAACAAAGGAUUUCUACAGUUUCUUCUCUCUCUCUCUCUCUCUCUCUCUCUCUCUCUUAUAGAUUACUGAGAAGGAUGAGACAGGGCCUUUCUGUACUCCUCAGUAUGAUACCAAGGAUGGGUGAAUGGGUACGUGUAAAUAUAUGAGUGGUCCAACUUUUCAAAAGUCACUCUCUCGCAGCUAUCAGGGGCGUGUACCCAAUGUCGUCAGCCCACAUACAAUCUUUUCGAACUGUAGGGAGGUGAGCUAUUUGUAUUACAGAAGCAUAGUCACCAGCCAAUUUUUCACGGUCUCUAGUUUUCUUUGUUGACAGAGUUCGAGAAUGUAGAUCUUUGUCAAAAGAUAGCUUGUUCGGAAGAAUCAUCUCAAAAGUUGGUUCAACUGUGGAUUCACCUUUCUUGGUUGAUUUGGAUUUUUCUGAAACCUUGUCAGAGAAAGGCUUGCAACCCGAAAGAGAAAGUGACUUUUCGCAACAAGUAAUCGAAACAUUUUGAUGUGGAAAAGAACGCACAGACAUGAGGAAUAUGGUGGGUGAUUGUUAAAAGGAUCGAGAAAAUUAAAAUUUUGUCAAUAAACAUCCAAUGUAGAUAUGAAUGUCGAGGAAGGAUGAGCAAAGUCAAAAAAGGAAUUUGGUGUGAGGUGGGAAUGUAAUUACUUUAGUUGACAAAUUCUCCCUCACAACAAAUUCCUUUUUUGACUUUGCUCAUCCUUCCUCGACAUUCAUAUCUUCAUUGGAUGUUGUUUAUUGACAAAAUCUCAAUUUUCUCGAUCCUUUUAACAAUCACCCACCAUAUUCCUCAUGUCUGCGCCUUCUUCUCCACAUCAAGAUGUUUCGAUUACUUGUUGCGAAAAAUCACUUUCUCUUUCGGGUUGCAAGCCUUUCUCUGGCAAGGCUUCAGAAAAAUCUAAGUCAACCAAGAAAGGUGAAUCCACAGUUGAACCAACUUUUGAGAUGAUUCUUCCGAACAAGCUAUCUUUUGACAAAGAUCUACAUUCUCGAACUCUGUCAACAAAGAAAACUAGAGACCGUGAAAAAUUGGCUGGUGACUAUGCUUCUGUAAUACAAAUAGCUCACCUCCCUACAGUUCGAAAAGAUUGUAUGUGGGCUGACGACAUUGGGGUACACGCCCCUGAUAGCUGCGAGAGUGUAACUUUUGAAAAGUUGGACCACUCAUAUAUUUACACGUACCCUUUGAAAAGCUCCACCAGCCUAAUUUUCAAAAAAAAUUCUACCAGCCUAAAAUGGAAGUCAGAAAUCAAGUUGACCCUAACAGACAUAUUCCUUCUGUUUGGUACCAUAAGAGAAACUGAGAAAACCUUGGUAACAUAAUAAAAAGAGGGACAUCUUUAUUUAACUUUUUUUAAAUGGAAGAAAAUUAAGGAAGGCUGAGCCACUAGCAAAUUUACUCCAUGACUUACUUGAGGUACUGUGCACAAGCAGAGAAUUUCACCGAGGUUAGAGGUCCUGGAAGUGAGAAGAACAGAACAAAGGAUUUUCACAGUUUUGUCUCUCUCUCAUAGAUUACUGUGAAGGAUGAGACAGGGCCUUUCUGUAUUCCUCAGUAUGGUACCAAGGAUGCAAAUAAAACUUUUUUUCUUCAUCUGGUUGGAAGCUUGGGGGUCAUCUUUACUACCGAGAAUCUGAGGAAGAGGAAUAUCACUCAUUUCAGUUGGUGUUAUAUGGUAGUGGAAAGAUGUGAUCCACUUACUGUUUCUCUGUCAGUUUCAACAACAAUUGGUGGUCGAAUGGAACCUGUUUGGUACUGAAUAGGUAAUGUCGGCAAUUGUUAAAGACUUGUUUUAACAUCAGGCAGUUAGAAGAAUAAGAGCUUGGACUCCACGAUUCGGAGCCUGUUUGGUAUUAAAUAGGUAAAGUCAGCAAUUGAAAGGUUUGUUUUUAAGUCGGCCAACUAGAAGGAAGAGAAGAAAAAAACCUUGGGAAGUUGCUUAUUUGUGCUCAUGACAUUUGGAGAGAAAAAUCAGAUUUUCGAGAUUGAAAGUUUGUUUUUAGAUAUCAGAUGAUCACUUUUGUUGUUUCAUAGAAGUUUGGAGUACCUUGGCGGACACCGUUUAUUGUUAGAUGAUUGGAUACUCCUUGUAGGAAGUCUUCUUUUUUUUCCUCUCUACGUACUCUGCUUUUCAGUGCCGAGGGUCUACUAGAAACAACCUCUCUACCACACAAAGGCAGGGGUAAGGUUUCCAUACAUCCUACCCUCCCAGAACUCAUUUGUGGGAUGAUACUGGGUAUGUUGUUGUUGUACUUUACUUUUCCAUACCACUUUUAUAUAUGGGGUUUUCACAUUUACAUAAAUAAAACUUGAUUUUCUUAGAAUUUGUAGAUUUCCACUGGAAAAUUAGUUUUACUACCGGAAGUGCUAGUGUGGGACAAUCUACUUUGACUUGUUUUUAUAAUUUACAUACGUCUUAUCAUUUCAACUCCUCUACUAGUGUCCAGUAUUAGUAAUAGGGAUAAUCAUCAACGUACUUGUAUUAUCCAUGAAGUGCCUAGAAAACUCAAAAUGAAGCACCUAUAUAAUCAGUGUAAAGCCGUAGAGGUAAAAGAAGGAGAAGAAGGAAUGAGAAGAAUUUGAUAAUCUGAAUAGCUGGAGCACAACUUGCACAUGGAAAUUUUUUGUAGUCUUGCUCUUUUCUUCUCUGAAGCCUUUUGUUCUAGUUAUCUUGUUUUCAUUUUCCAUUUCUCUCCUGGUGCUUCAAAGUUCCUCUUGCUUUGAUUUCCUUAGGUGUAUAUACAUGAAAUUUUGAUGAGAAGAAAUUGAUGUUUUUGGUAUUUGGGGAUGUGAAGGGGAAGGAGAUGGUAAGUUGUUGGCUAGGGGGUAUGAUUAAAAUCCAUUAUACAUUCUCUUGCCUGUCUAUCUAAUUCUGUAUAUUGCCCAAUUAAAAUGGAACCUAACGUGAAGAUUAAGGAAAGAAACUAGGUAACUUUCAACAUAUAGACAUCUAGGGACCUCUUGACAUUUCUUAAGGAUGCCUCUGUGUGCUCUUCACUGAUCCAAAAACUUGUAGCUGUGUUCAUGAAAUUGGAGAAAGGAAAAAGAAAUGUGAAGGUAAAACAUGAAAAUGAAUGAUUUUUUCAAAUUUGCACGGUUGAUUUGCUAUGUUGCUCCGACUCUCCAAAAAUAAUGCCACACUCCUGUCGGAUCCUUAAAAAAUGUACUACUUUUAUAUAUUAAGAAGCAGGGAGAUCGACAACUCUCCUCAGUGCACUGAUAUCCUUUGGUGUUCGGAUGGAAAUUAAUCUGGGUUUACUUUGUUCUUUUGCAGGAUACGUUUUGAUAGUUGUCAAUUCUCACCUGCUGAUGGCAUUUUACAUGUCCAGCAAAGUAGGAAUCAGACCUGAAGGUACUGACUAGAGCAGCCAUAUUGAUUUUUCAACACAUACACCCCCGGCCAAAAGGUUUCAUUUUUCCCCUCUUGUUUUUCUUCUCUAACACAAGAUUCAUUUUAUUAAACUAGAGUGCAGUCGAUUUUUGGAAUUAGCAUGUAGGUGUAACAGCGCAGUUUUAUGUAGAUAGAUCUUUGGUCUCUGAGUUGAAUACUUAAGAAAUACAUGGCAAUUGAUUUAGAGUUGAGAGGAUGUUGUAGUAUUUGUAUUGUUCAGUCAUAAUUGCAGAUAAUAAGGUAUCUUCACACAACUUUUUUGGUUCUCUUUUGUGCUAUGUUCUAUUUUUAUUUAUUUAUUUUCGAUAACGAUGCUAUUUGGAUCAACUUGCAUAAUGAUUAACUUAUGAUCACUUUGGGUUACAUUCAAUGUAUUCAUUCAGCAUUAAGAUAUGCCAAAUAUUUGACAUAAUGUUAACAGUGAACCAAGGGCCUUUCAGAAACGUCUCUACCACCUUCACAAGGUAGGGAUAAGGUCAGGGUACACAAGACCCCACUUGUAGGGUUACACGAGUGAGUCAGUGAAAGCCAAAAAGAAAAAAAAAGUGGAGUUCCUGUAACUUUCUUAAAUAGUACCAACAGAAUGGGGUCUCAAAAAGAGAUCCAAAUCAUGCAGCCCAAUCUUGUCUUAUAUUCAAAUGUACAGUACUUGUAGCUCAUAAUGCCAUGAUAGAUGACUAAUAUAUUGUCUCUAAUGAAUGAGAUUUUUGUGAAUUUUAUACUUUUGUAGUUGGAGGCAUGUCAAUUUUCAAUGACAUCCAUCAGUCCUUCAAUUUUAUUUAAUACUGCUGUAUGCAUCAAGAGAGAAGAGUAUUUUAUUAUCUAGAAAAAACCAGGAAGAUGAAGG
rnacentral:lncRNA from 1 species